AUUGAACGCUGGCGGCAUGCCUUACACAUGCAAGUCGAACGGCAGCACGGGGGCAACCCUGGUGGCGAGUGGCGAACGGGUGAGUAAUACAUCGGAACGUGCCCAGUAGUGGGGGAGUAGCCCGGCGAAAGCCGGAUUAAUACCGCAUACGACCUACGGGUGAAAGUGGGGGAUCGCAAGACCUCGCGCUAUCGGAGCGGCCGAUGUCA
rnacentral:rRNA from 1 species